rnacentral:lncRNA from 1 species
GAUUGUUAAAAUUUUAUAAGUUUCUAGUUUUACUCUUCUCUAAUCUUUCUAUAAAAAAUACCUCUAAUUGUGUGGUCACAACAUGUUCUCUUCUUCUACUUUCUGCAUUAAGCAUACUAUCUUUUACUAUUUCUAAUGCCACCAUACUACUAAGAGCUUAAUUACUAAGUAAUACAACUAACGUUUCCCAACUGUCAAAUAAGGAGUUGAGCAAC